UUUUCUUUUUCUUUCUCAUUUCUCAUUCACCCACACCAUAGCACAGCACACCACCAGAGAGAGAGAGACAUUCUUCUUCUCUUCGUCGUGAGCUUCAAACACCACCACACCAUACCAAACUUCAUCACCUUCCGUUCGUGAAACACCACUGCAUUGUUAUUCUUGUUCUCUUGUCUUCUCUUUGUCAACGUUGGAUGUCGCUGGUGUUGUCUUCAUCAAUGUCACCGAUUAAGAUCUCUUUGUCAACGUCGCUGCUAUUCAGUAACUCCUCCACCAUGGCUCACGUAGUAGAGAGAGAGAUGAUGAAAUUGCUCAGACGGAUGGAAGAUUGGAGAGGACAACAAGCAUGGUUGCUUCAAACAUUCUUGACAUAGGACAACAUGAUGAAUGCCUUGAUUGUUGGUGGUUGUCAAUUGGUUGAAUUAAUGUUGUAAAUUUGAACUUUAUUUUUUUUCCUUUGGACUUCUUCAUGUGCUUUGAUGUUUUAACUCUGAACAUUAUCUUUUAUUUGGUCAUGGAACUGGUAUUCUGAGAAAUUGUUGGACUUUGAACUGCUUUAGAAGUAGAACUAUUGUUUUGAGACAUUAUUGGACUUUUAGAACUUUUGUAGAACUAUUGUUUUGAGAAAUUAUUGGACUUUGAAUCGA